GCGGCCGCGGUAAUACGUAGGGCGCAAGCGUUAUCCGGAAUUAUUGGGCGUAAAGAGCUCGUAGGCGGUUUGUCGCGUCUGCCGUGAAAGUCCGGGGCUCAACCCCGGAUCUGCGGUGGGUACGGGCAGACUAGAGUGAUGUAGGGGAGACUGGAAUUCCUGGUGUAGCGGUGAAAUGCGCAGAUAUCAGGAGGAACACCGAUGGCGAAGGCAGGUCUCUGGGCAUUAACUGACGCUGAGGAGCGAAAGCAUGGGGAGCGAACAGGAUUAGAUACCCUGGUAGUCCAUGCCGUAAACGUUGGGCACUAGGUGUGGGGGACAUUCCACGUUUUCCGCGCCGUAGCUAACGCAUUAAGUGCCCCGCCUGGGGAGUACGGCCGCAAGGCUAAAACUCAAAUGAAUUGACGGA
rnacentral:rRNA from 1 species